CCUUGCUCACUCUCUCUCUCUCUCAAAUCAAAAAUAAGAGAAUUUUCAGAAGUGAAGGUUUGUUGUCAUUUUCUAAAUUCUUAUCCCUCUCUUCAUUUGAAUCAUCUAAGGCUGCUGGGGAUGAGUUUAUCGUUGUGUGGUGCCAGCCAGAAAAACACUAUUUUCUCACUGGAAUUCAUAUGAGGUCAUUUACCCUUAAAAGAGUUCCAAAUUGAGUGACCUUGAAGAUUCCAUUUUAUUCUUGGCUCAGAAGAGACAGAGAUUAUCCUGGAGCUUAAUAUAAGAGAUAAUGUGCAAGGACACUGCCUUUCCAGUCCACCCCAUUCCCAAGGAUGAUCCCAACCUGCACUCCCUGAAGCUCUACCAAUCAGAGACAAGAGAGUGGAUGGGAUAGCUCUGGUCCCCACAACAUCCUUAACGACAUUUGAUGAGAAGACAGUCUUCUAGAAGAAAGGAACUGAAGAGCAUGACUGCUUUAUUAAUUAAACUUUGGAAGACUCACA